AUUGAACGCUGGCGGCAUGCUUUACACAUGCAAGUCGAACGAGUGGCGAACGGGAGAGUAAUAUAUCGGAACGUAUCGAGUAAUGGGGGAUAACCAAUCGAAAGAUUGGCUAAUACCGCAUAUUAUUCGAGCGGCCGAUAACUGAUUAGCUAGUUGGUGGGGUAAAGGCCUGCCAAGGCGACGAUCAGUAGCGGGUCUGCGAGGACGUACCGCCACACGGGGACUGAGACACGGCCCAGAAUCCUACGGGAGGCAGCAGUGGGGAAGUAUGGACUAUGGGGGCAACCCUGAUCCAGCCAUGCCGCGUGUAUGAAGAAAGGCUUCGGAUUGUAAAGUACUUUUGUUAGGGAAGCGGUACUUAAAGAAUAAGCACCGGCUAACUACGUGCCAGCAGCCGCGGUAAUAC
rnacentral:rRNA from 1 species